GAAGCCACUCGGCCCUUGGCUUCACACCAAUCAAAUCAAAGCAUCAUUAUCAACGUCACCGAAAAAACUAUAACAAAACAAAUAGCGCGAAAUUAGCUUGUUUGAAUUGUUUUCAUUUUUGAGUAGCCUACUUAGCAAGUGCAGUUAUGGAGGGUGGAGAUUUAGAUUAUUUACUUAAAAAUAAUUUUACCAAACUACCACAACAGCAGCGAAUCAAAAUAAAAUCCGAUGGCAGGUCAACACCGAAGCUGAAACUGCGCGUUGAGAGAAAGCAAGGCUUCUUUCGGACGUUCAAUGAAGAAAACUACGCAAACGGAGUGGCUAGCUGGCAGCAGCAAACCUCAGCGACUAUUUUGCUGGCCGUGUCUUCUUUUUGACAAGGAUUCGUGCUCCCUCAACAAUCCCUCGGUCACUACAGGAUUCGUGGACCUUGCCAACUUGUCCCGGGCAAUCGAGAGGCACGGCCAUCGACGACGACUCUCCACUCAGCACGGCUCUGGGCUCUCUUCUCCGCCCCCCCCCAGCUGGAUCCAAGCCUCUUCAGCUCCGCCUCCGUGUCCCGUCUCCAGGUGUUCCUGGGGCGUCCUCUCUUCCGCUUCCCCUGGGGGUUCCAGGAACAACCCGAGUUGCCCCAAGAGGACUUGGCAGCAAAUGAAGAUGAAGUACAAAAAUAUAGUUCAAACAGAGCCCCGGCAGACUGGAGGGGGUCCACCUCUGCAGCCCUCACAGAGGCUGAGGAGAUGGCCCUCAGCCAACAGAGUAUGGGUCCUGUGGCUGAGGGCAUCCCUGGGGGGAGCUCCUCUGAUCCCCCCCACCCCCCAGGAUAGAAGUGCCUUUAUAAGAGGAAGAUGAUGGAGAAACAUUGUCUGCGGCAUUCGAAAGGGAAGAGGAAAGGCCUAUUGAG
ensembl:lncRNA